rnacentral:rRNA from 1 species
UCAACGCUGGCGGCGUGCCUAACACAUGCAAGUCGAACGCGAAAAGGGCUUCGGCUCUUAGUAGAGUGGCGAACGGGUGAGUAACACGUGGGUGACCUACCUUCGAAUGGGGGAUAACGUCCCGAAAGGGGCGCUAAUACCGCAUAACAUCCUGCUUUUGAACAGGUGGAGAUCAAAGCCGGGGAUCGCAAGACCUGGCGUUUGAAGAGGGGCCCGCGUCUGAUUAGCUAGUUGGUGAGGUAACGGCCCACCAAGGCAACGAUCAGUAUCCGGCCUGAGAGGGCGGACGGACACACUGGGACUGAGACACGGCCCAGACUCCUACGGGAGGCAGCAGUGGGGAAUUGUUCGCAAUGGGCGCAAGCCUGACGACGCAACGCCGCGUGGAGGAUGAAGGUCUUCGGAUUGUAAACUCCUGUUGCCCGGGACGAAAAGCUUCGACCUAACACGUCGAAGUCUGACGGUACCGGGUGAGGAAGCCCCGGCUAACUCUGUGCCAGCAGCCGCGGUAAUACAGAGGGGGCAAGCGUUGUUCGGAAUUACUGGGCGUAAAGGGCGCGUAGGCGGCCCGCUAAGUCGAACGUGAAAUCCCCGGGCUCAACCCGGGAACUGCGUCCGAUACUGGCAGGCUUGAAUCCGGGAGAGGAAUGCGGAAUUCCAGGUGUGGCGGUGAAAUGCGUAGAUAUCUGGAGGAACACCGGUGGCGAAGGCGGCAUCCUGGACCGGCAUUGACGCUGAGGCGCGAAA